rnacentral:lncRNA from 1 species
ACCUCUCCGAGGCUCAGUUUUGUCUUGGGUAAAAUGGAGAGAAUUGUGUGAAAUAAGGGUCUAGCAUGUAAUCCAUGGCCUUAAAAUAUUAGCAUGUAUUGUUGUUAUUGCUGUUAUUAUUUCAGCAUUAGCAAAUAUAGGUCUCUUGGUCCCUUUCCCCUUUAUCCAUAUAUCCGACACCCACUGUUCCAUGCCUUGCUCUUCCACAAACAGACUCAGUAUGUACAGAGCCUUCAUCGCCUUCUGGGGGGCUGCAUACUGUGCCAUUGACAUGCCCAGCCUCCUCCUGAUGGUCAUGUCCAUCCAUCUCUCUGUCUCAGGUUCCCAUGAGAUGAGCUGCAGUGUUUGUUCACACACAGGUGUCUUUGUGGAAUACAUGUUUUAGCAUGUGCUGGAUCUCACCUGGUCACCCUGCAGAGUGUCUGUAAUUUCUGCUUCAUCCAUCAGAGAGUGAGUGCAGGCUUCCCCUUGACAGUUUAGGGGGAUAGGAUUGUUUUUUUUUCUUUGACUGCUCCCACUGGGCCAGUUGGAAGAGUCCACCUUGCCCACCUUGGUUUCAGAUCUAAAAUUUUCUUUCAAACACUAAGAGUGUUGAGAUAGCAAUUAUAGUGCUUCUUCGGGGCCUGGGACCCUGCUGGGGGUUUUAGAGAUUCAUCCGUGGAUGUUUACUGAGCCUCCGCUGUAUGCUAGGCCCUGACCCGGGUGCUGGGAAUAGAUUGGUGAAGAAGACAGAGGAAAAGAAGAACAAAUAAAUAGAUUAAAUAUUUAUUAAGGGGAUACUAGAUGCCUUUAAGAAAAACGAAGCCAGGGAAAGGGGUAGGUGAUAAGGAGGUGCUGUUUUAGCUACAGAGUCAAGGCAGGCCUCUUUGAGGAGGUGACAUUUCAGUAAAGACCAGCAGGAGGUGAGAGAAUGAAUUAAGUGGUGGUCUGAGGGAACAGCGUUCCUGAGGUGGGGAAAAGAGUUGUGCAAAGGCCCUGGAGCAGGGGCGUGCUUGGUAUGUUGGAGGAGCAGUGAGGAGGCCCAUGUGUCUGGAGCAGUGGCGAGGGCGGGAGCAAGUGAGGGCAAGGAGGGGACGGGGCAGGUUGUGCAGGGCCUCGUGGGUGGCAGGAGGACUUGAGUUUUUGCCCCAGGGAGUAAAAGGGAGCCAUGGGCAGAGCAGAAGCAGGACCUGACUCCAAUCCUCACAGGUGCCCUUUUGCCACUGAAGUAGGGCAGACCGUGAGGGUGAGGGCAGGAGCCAAGGACCAGGGUUGGGGGUGACUGUACCUGUCCAGGUGAGUGAUGAUGAGGCUGGUCUAGGUGGAGGCAGAGGGAGGAGAAGUAGGUGGCACAAUGGGUGCCAGGUGGGGUUGCGAGGAAUCAAGGAUAACUCCUAGGUCUCUGGCUUGAGAACCUACAAGGACGGAGGAACCGGCAUGGGGAGCCCCCAGGUUACAGACAUCCACCAAGUUUCCCAGAAGGGAAAAGGACUGCUUUCCCCAUCUGUAUAGUGGAGAUAAUAACGGAAGGCAACAAAAUGAGUUAAUAUGUACAAACCACUUAGAACACAGCCAGCUACACAUUUGGGUUUGGAUGGGGCUGGGGCCAGAGUUUUGUCAACCCCAAGCUCCACUGGGGCUCUUGGGGCAGAAAUUCUGAGAUUUGCUGCAAGUCUCCAGUUCAGGAUAUGGAGGAGGCCCGGUUUGUAGACCAGGAGGUUGAGGCCCAGAGAGGUUAGGGCACUCGUCCCAGACCACACAGCAUGUGUGGCACAGCUCUUGUGGGCCCACACACCCUCCCCACGUUGCUCCUCUCUCUUCUUCUCUGUGUGUUUUCCACCCCCAGGGCUGCCAGCUUUAGUUCUCGGUGGUUUCCAGGCUCCCCUUGACUCCAGCUUGGCACUCACCUCCCACCUCCACACACUCUGGACCCAGGGCUUGGUGCCAGGUGGGCUCGAGGGCUGGGGGUCUUGAUGAGCACCCUCUGUUUUACACUCAGAGUUCCCUCUGCCCCCACCAGCCCCUCCCCCAAGCCUCCCACUAAUGAUGGAAGUGGGACAGGAGGGAGAGAGUGAAAUUAUAUACACAUGAACAUACAAAAAUUAGUUUAGGAUCUGGGCCAAGAACCACUUGCGCUUGGCUGGGCAUUGUGGGUAAUUCAUCGCCGAUUACCAUAAAAGCCAGAGCCUGGCUGACAGGCGGCCGUGGGGCUUUUGUUUAAGAUUCUGAUGAAUAUAUAAUCUCUCUCUUGCCGGGGAGCCUGAGGUUCCCCCCACCCUGCCCGUACCCCCUCUGCUCAGCACAGCCCCCAGGAAGGAUGUCCACAGGAUCCUGCCCAAGGGGCUGGCAGUUGUGGCCUGCUCAGGAGCCAGGCCGGCCAUGGUCCUUUGGUGAGCCUGCCUGGAAGAAGCUGGGCUUAGCAUUCGAUGCCCACGGCUUUCUCCAAGGACCCCGGGCUUUGUAAUGCAGCGCCAUCCCUGGGCCCAAGUCCCUCAGGCCUGCAUUCAUCCACCCAACACAUGUUUAUUGGGCUCCCAACUGUUUGUUUGGCCCCCCGCGGGUGCUGAGAUGCUGCGGUGAUUGAGAUGGAUGGGGUCCCUGCCUUUUCAGAGUCUGGGGGCUGAUGGAUGAGUAGACAGACAAGCAUUUAUCCAUAUUUAAAGAUUCCCUAAGUCUGGCCCAGGAGAUGCAAAUUGAAACAACAAGAUCCAUUUCUUGCUCAUCCGCUUGGCAAAAAUGUCUGAAGCUUGAUGAUAUCCAGAGUGGUAAUGGGAGAGAGACCUCUGGGCGUCACCAGCAGGAGAAUAAAUCAGCUUCGCCACUUUGCAACAUCUUUUUAUUUUUAAUUUCCUUUUCUGGCCAGAUAACACAUACAUGUGGGACGCACUUGAGGAUAUAUGGAAGAAUACACAGUGGAGAGCCUUUCUACCCCUGCUUCCCUCACAUCCUCAGUCUCCCUCCCCUCUUCUUCCCCAGAAGCAGCCACCAGCCUCCUUCUAGGACCGUGGUUUUUUUCUGGAAAGGGCCAGACUGUAAGUCUUUUCAGCCCUGCCGGACAGCGGUUUCUCUCAAUACUAUUCAGCAUGCUGCCCUUGUAGCAUGAAAACAGCCAGAGACUUCCAUGAAUGAAGGGCUGUGGUCGAGUGCCAAUAAAGCUUUAUUGACACAAACAGCCAGCAGGCCAGCUUUGGCCCAUGUGUUGUAGCUUGCUGGCCCCUGCUCUGUAUCAGUGCUGUCCAGCAGAACUUCGGUAUGAUGUUAGAAACACGCUGUACCCAUGCUUUCUAAUAAAAUAGCCUCUAGCCACAUGUGCUGUUGAGCAUUGGCAAUGUAGCUAGUGCAAAUGAGGACUCACAUUUUAAAUUUUAUUCCAUUUUAUUGCAUUCGAAUGUAAAUGGCCUUGCAUGGCUCGUGGCCACCGUUUCGGGCAGCGCAGUUAUCUAGACAUCUUCGGUGAACAUUCAGUAGGCAGCUAGGUGUGUAUUUCUUUGUUUACGCAAAAUGAUAGCAUCUUUUAAAAGCUGUUCUGUACUUUGGUGGUUUUUCUUUCCCCCUCUUGAAAAUGUAGUAUCUUAAAAGGUAAUUUCAUAAUUAUGCAUCUGGCUUUUCCCUUUCACAGCUGUGAUACUAGUCUCAUAAUACUAAAAGAUACUAAUCUUUUGUGGCAGUAUUUGGUCCCUUACACUGGUAUGCAUUUACCAGUCCUCUGCUGUUGGGCACUUAGGUUGCUUCAAGUCUUUGGCCACGUGGACUUUCAAUAUGCCUCAUUUCAUGAGACUGCUUCUUUCAUAUUUCCUAGAGGUGAUGUUAGGCCCAAAGGGAAGGUAGAGAUGCCCCAGCUGCACACCUCUCAGCAUUGAGAUGUGGCUGGUGUGGUCACAGAGGUUCACAGGCAUGGGUGGAGACUGAGAGAGAGAAAAAACAGGAGCUAACCUAAGUGUUCAUCAACAGGGGAUUGUGAUAACCUGGUAAGGCAUUGUAGCAGAAGAUUAUAUUUAGCAGGCAAAUGUGUGUGCUCAGUAGAUACAAUGUCAGUGAAAGAAUGCAAGUUGGGAAAUGAUAACAAACAAGAUGAUACAGUUUCAUGGGUGGAAAAAAACCCACUCAGUAUUUUUUUUUUUUUUUUUUUUUUUUGCUUUUUAGAGCGGCCCUUGUGGCACAUGGAGGUUCCCAGGCUAGGGGUCAAAUGAGAGCUAUAGCUGCUGGCCUAUGCCACAGCCACACCAUAUCCAAGCUGCAUCUGCAACCUACACCACACACAGCUCAUGGCAAUGCCGGAUCCUUAACCUGCUGAUUGAGGCCAGGGAUCGAACCUACAACCUCAUGGUUCCUAGUCAGAUUCAUUUCCCCUGCCCCACGUCAGCAACCCCCCCUUUUUUUUUUUCCCUUUUAAUUUUAAUUUUUUCCAUUAUAGUUGGUUUACAGUGUUCUGUCAAUUUCUACUGUACAUCAGUGUCACCCUGUCACACGUAUAUAUAUAUACGUUCUUUUUCUCACAUUAUUCUCCAUCAUGUUCCAUUAUAAGUGACUAGAUACAGUUUCCCUGUGUUGUACAGCAGGAUCUCAUUGCUUAUCCACUCCAAAUGCAAUAGUUUGCAUCUGUUAACCCCCAGAUUCCCAGUCCAUCCCACUCCCUCCCCCUCCCCCUUGGCAAUCACAAGUCUGUUCUCCAAGUCCCUUCCCGUGUGGCUCCCACUCAGUAUUCUAGCCUUACCUUUGGUCUGUAACUGCUUGGGAAAGAUAUGCAAAGAUUGACACAAACCAGCAACAGAGGUUGCUUCUUGGGGCAGAUAAGAGCGACUCUCCCUUCUGCAAAUGUUUGGAUCUGCUAUGUACCAGCUGCUCGGAGGAAUUUGAAAGAACAAAUCCCUUGCCCUCUUGCAGCUAGCACUCCAGUUGGGGAGUUGGAGAAUAAACAAAGCACAGGAAAAACAAAAAAACAAAAAAAACCCACAUCAAAUGUCAGAAAGUGGUAUGUUGC